rnacentral:rRNA from 1 species
UGGUAGUCCACGCCGUAAACGAUGUCGACUUGGAGGUUGUUCCCUUGAGGAGUGGCUUCCGGAGCUAACGCGUUAAGUCGACCGCCUGGGGAGUACGGCCGCAAGGUUAAAACUCAAAUGAAUUGACGGGGGCCCGCACAAGCGGUGGAGCAUGUGGUUUAAUUCGAUGCAACGCGAAGAACCUUACCUACUCUUGACAUCCAGGGAAUUUGGCAGAGAUGCUUUGGUGCCUUCGGGAACCCUGAGACAGGUGCUGCAUGGCUGUCGUCAGCUCGUGUUGUGAAAUGUUGGGUUAAGUCCCGCAACGAGCGCAACCCUUAUCCUUUGUUGCCAGCGAUUCGGUCGGGAACUCAAAGGAGACUGCCGGUGAUAAACCGGAGGAAGGUGGGGAUGACGUCAAGUCAUCAUGGCCCUUACGAGUAGGGCUACACACGUGCUACAAUGGCGCAUACAAAGAGAAGCGACCUCGCGAGAGCAAGCGGACCUCACAAAGUGCGUCGUAGUCCGGAUCGGAGUCUGCAACUCGACUCCGUGAAGUCGGAAUCGCUAGUAAUCGUGGAUCAGAAUGCCACGGUGAAUACGUUCCCGGGCCUUGUACACACCGCCCGUCACACCAUGGGAGUGGGUUGCAAAAGAAGUAGGUAGCUUAACCUUCGGGAGGGCGCUUACCACUUUGUGAUUCAUGACUGGGGUGAAGUCG